GGAGAGAUGGUCGAGCGGUUUAAGGCUCCAGUCUUGAAAACUGGCAUGGCACUGAGAUGUCAUCGAGGGUUCGAAUCCCUCUCUCUCCUAAAACUAACU
rnacentral:tRNA from 2 species